rnacentral:lncRNA from 1 species
CCAAUUCUAUUUACAAUGGCAAGGCUGGAUCGUGUUAAGAAUUUAAGUGGACUUGUUGAAUGGUACGGGAAGAAUGCUAAGUUGCGUGAAUUGGUUAACCUUGUAGUUGUCGGUGGAGAUCGGAGAAAAGAGUCCAAGGAUUUGGAAGAGAAGGCUGAGAUGAAGAAGAUGUUCGAGCUCAUUGAGAAGUACAAGCUGAACGGUCAGUUCAGAUGGAUAUCAUCCCAAAUGAACAGAGUUAGGAACGGUGAACUUUACCGUUACAUUUGUGACACAAAGGGUGCCUUCGUACAACCCGCAUUAUAUGAAGCCUUUGGGUUGACUGUCGUUGAGGCCAUGACUUGUGGUUUGCCGACAUUCGCAACUUGCAAUGGUGGACCUGCCGAGAUUAUCGU